rnacentral:rRNA from 1 species
GACGAACGCUGGCGGCGUGCUUAACACAUGCAAGUCGAACGGAAAGGCCCUGCUUUUGUGGGGUGCUCGAGUGGCGAACGGGUGAGUAACACGUGAGUAACCUGCCCUCGACUUUGGGAUAACUUCAGGAAACUGGGGCUAAUACCGGAUAGGAGCUCCUGCUGCAUGGUGGGCGUUGGAAAGUUUCGGCGGUUGGGGAUGGACUCGCGGCUUAUCAGCUUGUUGGUGGGGUAGUGGCUUACCAACGCUUGGACGGGUAGCCGGCAUGAGAGGGUGACCGGGCACAAGAGGACUGAGAUACGGCGCAGACGCCUACGGGAGGCAGCAGGGGGAAGUAUGGCACAAUGGGCGGAAGCGUGAUGCAGCAACGCCGCGUGCGGGAAGACGGCCUUCGGGUUGUGAACCGCUUUCGCCUGAGACGAAGCGUGAGUGACGGUAAUGGGUGAAGAAGCACCGGCUAACUACGUG